GACUAUCACUUAUUUUACAGAAACUGACUUCCAAAAUAGUUUUAAACAUUAAUUCUAAAAUAUACAAUUGUCUAUCUAAAGUAGAUAAUAUCCACACUUCCAAAGACUAGCUAAUACGCAGCAAGAUAAUAAGAAAGAAGUCAACCUUGCAUUCUUGUCAAACUAAUAGGAGUAAAAUACAAACUAUGUACAGGCGGUAAUUUAACUAUAAUCUAUAAAAUUCAGAAAGGUUCCACGUCAAAACAAAACUAAGUGCUAAGUAUUUGAUACGAGGAUUGCAAAUGUAUGAUCUUCUGCAGUCAAGGAUAAAGUAAUUUCACUCAAGGCUGAAACCUUGCUCUUCUUGCAUUCAAUAGACUAAAAUGUACCCUAUAAAUUCAAAAUAAACAAUAAUUAGUACAAAAGACAUCAAUACAAAGAUGCAAGUUUACUUUGUAAAAUGCUAAAAGAACGAUCAAAAAGAGAAACUUUAGCAUAUAACAAGAGGGGAAAACGUAAAGCGAUAAGAAAACAAACCUGUAUACUUUUUAAAAAACUUUGGAAAGGAUUUUCAUCUCAAUUUUGUAAUAUCUUCCCUAGAACUGUGGGUCCUUCCAACAUUAUAUUGUAAUCUCCAAGGUUCCACUCAAUAUCUAUCACAAUACAACACAAUAUCUAUUAAUUUGUUAAUAUAAAUCAAAAAAUUCAAAUAAAAAAGGUGUAUGGGGAUUCAGAAAUCCUAAGAUACAUACAUAAACAUAUCUGGAAAGAAAGAAGGCGACUGGCUAUCUAAGCGGUGAUUGAUCAGUUGGUUUGCUCUGUUCAUGUGAAGAGAAAAGACAUUGUUGAAGAAGAAGAAAGGGGGGAGGAAGGGGGGUUGGCGUCUGGGAAGAAGAAUGAUAGCUUUAUUAGGUUUUCUAGAUUUUUGUUUGGGCCAAACCUUUACGCUCUUCGUUUUGUUAUUACUAUUACUAUAUAUUUGCACUAUUACCUAAUAUAAAUGUGAGAAAUGUAAGUAUUAACAAAUACAAGCCCAGCAAGAAAAUUAUCUAUGAAAAAUGCAAAAGAUUAAACACAUACUUCACACUAAGUAAAAUAAAAAAAUCAACUUGCAUGAAAUAAAGAUAUUUUAUAAUAUAUUUUAUUCUUUACAACUUUAUUCGUCAUAUACAAGUCUUAUUUAACCUUCACGGACCACUUCACUACGCAGCAAGCUCCGACUCGAAAGCAAGAAGCAAGGGCGCAGCAGCUACGCGAAGUUGCGCCUUAGCGCAUCCGUUUUCUUGCUCGUUAGCGCUUUUUUUUAUUGCAGCUAGCACGNNNNNNNNNNNNGUACCUAUAAAAAAAUUAGUAAAGUACCAUACAUACAUAAAUUCUCUAUAAAUAUUAGUAUAUUUUGAAUUUUACACCAUAUUUACAUAAUUAAUGUCCAAAAUAACAAGUUGCAAUAAAAUAAAAUGUGGCUAGAAGAUUGUCAUUGUUGCGGCAAAUCUACCUUAUGGCAAAAACUAAUAAAAUUUUAUCAUACAAAUAAAUCCGUAGUUAUAUCAUUUUAUCAUGACAAAUAAUUGUAGAUAUUAAUCCAAUUACUGACAUGGCUUUUUAGAACUUGAAGAAAAAUCAUUUAUUUAGCAUCAUUUUUGUUUUAAAUAAUUUAUUGCGACUAAAAGAUUAUUAUUGUUAUAUUAAGUAUCAACUCAUGACAAAAAUUAAUGAUUAGCUACGAAAUUUUAUUAUAGCAAGAAAUUUGUGGCUGAUUUAACCUAUACUGCCACAAUUUUAUAUAACUUGAAGCAAAAAUAUUCAUUUAGCUAUAAUAUUUUAUUUUAAAUAUUUUGUUGUGGCUAAAAGGUUACUAUAGCUAUAGUAAGUUUCAACUCCUGGCAAAAANNNNNNNNNNNNNNNNNNNNAAAAAACUAAUGAUUAGCUACGAAAUUUAAUUAUAGCAAUAAAUCUAUGACUAUAUCAUCUAACUACUGCCACAACUUUUUAGAACUUGAAGCAAAAAUAUUCAUUUAGCUAUAAUAUUUUAUUUUAAAUAAUUUAUUGUGGCUAAAAGGUUACUAUUGCUACAAUAACUAUUGGUGUAUGACAAAAACUUAUGAUUAGCUACAAAAUUUUACUUGUAGCAAUGAAUUUGUAGCUAUUUAGGUAGCUAUUGCCACCAUUGUUAUCCAUUAUAGCUAAUUUGAAUUAAUUUUUAAAACUAUUUUGGAACUCAAGAGCGAGAUUAUUGGUUGUGUGAACAAAGUCCCAUAUGAAAAGUAGAACAACAAAAUAAAAUACUUAUAAGGAGUUGGAUACUCUUAAUAGCAUGAGGCCUUUUGGGGGAAACCGUGCGAAUUUAGCUUAAAACGCACAAUAUCAUAUUAUGUGAAGAGUAUCUAUGAGCCGUUUUAAUCAAACAAAAAGUAUUGUUUUUAUGCAUGAUUAAAACAUUACACACAGACGGUGACUAAUAAAUAACGUUGAACUUGUGCUCUCCCAACUAUACAUGAGCUGGAUAGUUAUUUUCUUGAAACACAUCACCUCCCCAAAAUCAAGUUGUCUUAAUUUUCAUAGACAUCCCAUAAAUCUUUCUUGUCAUUGCACAUUUUUGAACAUUUUCUGACUUUCUUGUUUACGAGAUCUAAUCCAAAAAUACUAUUUCGACUUUUUAUGAAGAAAACACCAUAUUAGUACAAAAAAGAUAGAAAAUAGUCGAGAUAUGUAUUACGUGUAAGCUGAUUCGAACAUCACAAUUAUAUAAAAAAUUAAUAUAUUGAGUAUCAUUUUUAUUAAUAUUUUCCCACCCUAUUCCAUGUAAGAAUAAAGUGCGGAAGAAAAAAUAAUAAAUUAUUGAGAAUUAAUGAAUUCAUGAUAAAAUAAAAUCCCUCGAUGAAUCUAUGUUACCUCGAAUAGAACAUAGAACACUAAAACAAUUUAAUUCAACUUAUCCCCACAUCUUGUCCCAGAGAACGAAAAUUGAUGAUAACAUUUAAGAAAUUAAGGAAGAAAAUAGUUAAGAAUAUGAACCCUAUCAAAAUUAUUUUCAUGCAAAAUUCCUAAACCAUAUUUAAUUAUGAAACAGUCAUUUCUAAGAACACAGUGACUAGAAACGUGGGGUAACUUUAAAGUAAUAAGUUAACAAAAUGAACUUUCUAUAGCUAACUCCAUGAGCUUUGCGUGAAAACAAACAUACAAACUUGAUUGCUUAUGGUGAAAGAGACAGACAGUAGUUUUGAGGGGUUUUCUCUUUUGUAAAAAACAAGUGGUAAUAUUUUAAGACUAUUUGUUAUUUUAAUCAGUGCGUGAAUGUGCUGCUUAGUAGCAGAAUAUAGGUUUGAAUAAUUUGUAUUUCGAAGAUUAUCAUGUUACUUAACUCUAUUAACUUUGAUUAAGGUUCAGUAACAACAAUAACAAAUUCAGUAUAUUCUUAUAUAUGGGAUCUGGAGAGGGUAGUGUAUACGCAGAUCUUACCUCUACCUAAUGAAGAUAGAGAUGAUGUUUCCAAUAGACCCCCGUCUCAAAAAGGGUGAAAAGAAGAAGAAGGAGGGGGAGGAGGAGUAGAAGAAAAGGAAAGAAAAGGAAGAGAGAAAGAAAAAGAAUAAGUAGUAUUGCCAAUUAGUAACAACAAGGAAUACAAUAUCAGAGGCAAACUACACCACAUAACAUAAUAAAGUUCUAAGAAUAUGAAGGAACAUGAAUGCUACUAAAACUACUGGUAAGAAAAUGAGAACUUUCAACUACAUACUAACCUUCUACCCUAAUCCUCGACUUGCACACCUUUCUAUUAAGGGUCAUGUCCCCAAUAAACCGAAAUAGCGCCAUGUCCCGACUCACCCCUCCCCAGUACUUCUUUGGUCUUCCUAGACCUCUUCUCAAACCCGCCAUGGCCAACCUCUCAUACCUCCUAACGGGAGCAUCAACGUUUCUCCUCUUAACAUGCAUGAACCAUCUCAGUCUUGCCUUCUGCAUCUUAUCCUCCACGGAGGCCACUCCCACUUUGUCCUGAAUAGCUUCAUUCCUAAUCUUAUCUCUCCUGGUACACCCGCACAUGCAUCUCAAUAUCCCUAUUUCUGUUACUUUCAUCUUUUGCACAUAGGAGUUGUUGACUGACCAACACCAAUCCCUAUUACAACAUAAUUGGUUGAAUAACUACUAUGUAAAAUUUACCCUUAAGUCUUGACGACACAUUUUUAUCACAUAAAAUACCGGAUCUGAGUCUCUAUUUCAUCCAUCUCGCUCCAAUAUGAUAUGCGGCAUCCACGUCAAUUUUCCAGUUACCUUAGACUAUAGACCCGAGAUACUUGAAGCUACCUCUCUUGGGGAUAACUUGAGUAUCAAGCUUCACAUCCAACGUCUGUUUCAUGAGUCCCGUCACUGAAUUUGCACUUCAAAUAUUUUAUUUUGGUCCUGCUCCGCUUGAAAUCUUUAGACUUCAAGGUUUGUUUCCAAACCUCCAACCUUGCGUUAAUCCCGCCUCACUCUCGUUGAUCAUGCAAUAUCAUCGGCAAAUAGAAUGCAUCCAUCGCCGAGGCAAAUAAAAACAGGCUAAGAGCCAAUCCCUGGUGCAUCCCUAUCACAACAAGAAAGUGCUCUGAGUCACCUCUCAUAGUCCUCACCCAAGUGUUAGCACCAUCAUACAUAUCCUUAAUCACCCUAAUGUACGCCACCAAAACGCCACUAACCUCUAAACUUUAUUGUACGUUUUUCAAGGUCUAUGAACACCAUAUGCAAGUCCUUCUUCCUUUCCCUAUACUGCUCCACUAGUCUCCUCACCAGAUGAAUCGCUUCUAUAGUCGAAUAUCCCAACAUGAAUUCGAAUUAGUUCUUGAAAAUAGACACGCUCCUCCUGACCCUGACUUUCACCACCUUCUCCUAAACCUUCAUAGUAUGACUCAACAACUUUAUACCAUUAUAGUUAUUGUAAUUUUAGAUAUCACCCUUGUUCUUAUAUAAUGGAACUAUUAUACUCCACCUCCAUUAUUUGGGCAUCUUCUUCAUCCUAAAAAUAACAUUAAACAACUCAGUGAGCCACUCCAAACCUCCUCGGGCUGCGUUCUUCCAAAAUUCUACCGGGAUUUUGCUCUGUCCCUACUCAUCUAAUGCAUUGCCCCUUCCACCGCCACUACCUUAAUUUGUUUACCGGGAUAUGUGCCUCAUCCAUCAAUACUUUGCCAUCUUCGUCUUUGAUUCACUUGACUUGGUGCAAGUCAUGGGCCUUCCUCUCCCUCACCUUGGACAACAGGUACAACUUCUUGCCCUUGCCUUUGCGGCCGUGUUCCUCAUACAGACGUCCAAAUACCAUAAUCUUAGCCGCUAUAACCACUAACUUCGCCUCUUUCUUUUCCAUUUUUAUAACACUCCCGAUAUGUCCUUUUUUUUUUCUCGCCUAUGGCAUCUUUUCAGUAAGUGAGCAUGAAAAUUGCUUUUAUAAAUUAUAACCCCGUAUCACUUUGAUAGAGUUAUAUUUUUUAUUCCUUUUUAUGUGACGAUGUUUGAUUGGACAUGAUAUUUUCAAAAAUAAAAAAAGAUUUUUGACACAUGAACUAAAUAUAUGUAAAGUAUCAAAAUUUUAUUUAUUAUUACAUUAAGAGUGGGUGACAAUUUCAUUCAUGUAUUUUCAUACACUCUGUUCCGAUGAAAAUUUGAUUUUUUAAGCUAUUAUAGGUAAAACUUGAAUAAGAAUAAUAAUAAAUAUUUUUCAAAUAAUUAAAUAAAUAAUAUUUUAACAUAAACUAUAAAAAAUAUAUCACAUAAAAUAAGAGUAAUUACAACAACAAUAAAAAAAAUUCAAUAUAAUUCCAUAAGUAGGAUUUGGGAGAGUAAUGUGUAUGCAUCCUUAAUCUUACCUUGGAAGGCAAAUAGGCUAUUUUGGACGACCCUCAUACUCAUAAAAUAAGAGCAAUUAAUUUAAAUAAAUUGUCUAAAUUGUAAAACCAAUUUGCAUUGGCCAAGAGAUGGCUUCUCAUAAGAUAUAUUAAAAAAAUGAGAAGGCGAUACUUCUUAGGAAGUUAGGAUCUUGUUCUAGAAGUCCUUUAUUUUCUUUUUUCCUUAUUCAACCUAGAAACCCUUUCUUGAGAACCAGAAAACAUAAGUAGUACUAUUAACUUUAUAAAAAAUAAAUAAUUUAAAAAUAUUUAUUAAUACAAACGAAAAAAAAUGAAGGCCCAACGCCCCAACUUACAUUCGAACUGCAACAGAGUCCAAUAAUUGUCUUUACCUCGUUUCACCAUGGAACCGAACAGUUACUGAAUUUCCAAAAAUACCCUCCUCACCACAGUUACUGAAUUUCCAAAAAUACCCUCCUCACCAACCCAAUCUUACAAUAAAUUCCAAGGGUAAUUAUGGAAUAACAGUAGUCUUCAGUUGAAAGGACAAUACCUAUUUAUUCACAUUGUGCAUUUAGGAAAGAUUUGAGAGGUGACAGUAAUAUUUUGGGCAAGUUGGAAGGAAUUUAUUGACUCUGGCUGUGUCUGUUAUCCAAAAUUCAUUUAAUUCUUCAUUAUCCCCUUUUGUUCCAGAAUUUAUUUUUGCUGUAUUUAACAAAUAUUUUAUAUUAGAAAAAUCAACAGAAGUCACCUACUUUCUAGAGAGAGGAAAAUCAAAGAAAAAAAGAAGAUACCCUCAUAAUAUUCCUGGUAUUCUUUUUUGUAUAUAUAACAUAAUAUAGACAAAUAAAUUGAAUGGAGAAAAUUCUUGAUAUUAUUUUCUAAUUUAUUUUUUGUCUCAACCCUCUUCAGCUCUGAGAUUAACUUUCAUUUUGAUCCAUCGAUCGUUGGAGCUUCCAAGAUUUUCAAGAAUACACCUUUUUUCUAUCUGUAAGUAUAUGAUUUAUUCUGCUAAUUUGGAGGGGGGAAGGGGGAGGUGGAGGGGGGGGGGGGGUUCUUAAUUUCUUUGGUUCUCAUGCAUUAUAUGGAUUGAAUUCUCAUUUGGGUUUUUGUAAUUUCAAGAUGCUUGAUGUAAAGUUUUGUUCUUUAUGGUUUUAAAAUUCUUCUUAUAUGAUCUUGAAUUUGUCAUUUGCAAUACUCUGCAUGUUCACAUUUUUUUUCCUUUUUUAUCUGUUGCAUGCAGGUAUUCUUGAUUGGUAAUCUGUGGGAUCAAUUCAAUUGGAUCAUUCUGAAGCUGUUUGGUUUUGACAGUUUCUUAGAUUGUAGUAUAACAUUUAGGUUUUGGUUAAAUUGUUGAUUAUUCUGUAUUUUUGGGGGAAUAUAAGUCUAUUGGUAGUUGAACAGAUGAAUGUUGUAGGUAAAGUUAGUAGCUUUAUAACACAGGGUGUAUACUCAGUUGCCACCCCAUUUCACCCUUUUGGUGGAGCAGUUGAUAUAAUUGUGGUGAAACAGCAUGAUGGGACUUUUAGGAGCACGCCUUGGUACGUUCGAUUUGGUAAGUUUCAGGGUGUUCUUAAGGGGGCAGAAAAGGUAGUUAGAAUAGAAGUUAAUGGCAAAGAAGCCAAUUUUCACAUGUAUCUUGAUAACUCCGGUGAAGCUUAUUUUAUCAAAGAGGUCACCGGAGACAAUGAGAAUGAGGAAAAUGGUGGCUUCAAGGAGUCCGAUAGCCUGAAAGGUGAAGGGGAUGGUAGUAAUCUUGGUAAUGUUAACGAUAAAGAAAGUAGAAAAGACGAUGUGCUGUCUAAAAAUGAGGAGGAUGAGUAUAAUGCUGCAGCUGAUUUGCCAUUACGAGACGAACGUGUGACAUUGGGUAUGGAUCGAUUAAAUAGGACAGAUUCGGAUGCUGACCGAAGAUAUUACGAGUUUCCGGAUGAGCAGCCUUCUCUUGAUGAUUUAUCAGAAUACGGAUCCAGUAGAUAUGAUAAUUUAGAAAAUAUGGAGCAUGUUUUAGAAUCACAGGAUUCGGGUUCUGAAGUUGUUCUAGUAAGCGUUGAUGGUCAUAUACUGACAGCACCCAUCUCGUCGUCUGAAAGGAAUACGGAAGAUGUCGAAUUAGACACACCCCAGUUUCAUCUGGGUCCUGGUCAGGGUACUGAAUUUUGUGAUGAUAGCUCAGAGUUCAAUUCAGGCGAUGGCACAUGGGCUGACGAUUAUUUCAGCGAUCUGAACACAUCUAAAGUUGCCUCGGCAGAUACUUGCGACCUGAAAAACGAGAGCACGACAGUCGAGCACAAGGUAGAAGUCUCUGAAGUUGAUGGGAAGCACCUUGAUCAAACUCCAGAAAAUAACCUGAAGCACCGAGAAUCAGAUCUUUGCAUGAAUAGCACUGUGGAGAGCACAUCAUGCAGCAUUAAGAAGGACGACGUAUUCAAGAGCUGUUUAGAGCUAUCAGCAUUAGCCAUGCAGGCGGAGGAUGAGGUUAAUCGGUCAGAUACCGUUUCUCAGUCGGAGAUUCAGGGAGUCGUUGAAGGUGUAGAAGUGAAGUCUCACAUGAGUCCUCCUGCAAUUAGUGAAGCUGAAAAUGGGUUAACUCCUGAUUCCGACCUUCCCUGCAGUUCUCUAUCACGAGAUUUACAGCCUGAAGUUGUAACCCUUCAGAAAAGUGACUUGGACUUGGAUCAUAAUGCUUCAGACACAAAGGAACAGACUGAUGUAACUCUAGCAGUAGAGGAGACACAAAAUGGCGAGCAAGGAUCAGGUGAAUGCACUGAAUGUGACAAUUUGGAGGAUCAGACUGCAGCUUUGCUUAAAGGUACAGAAACUGAUUCAAGCACAAGCCGGCAUGCCUCUUGUUUUUGAUUAAAAUUAUAGUGUCUCAUUUAGUUGUUCGAUUUAGCUCUACUUCUCACUAUGUUCACGCAUUUUGUUAGUGAUAUCUGCAGGAGUAGAGAUAUCUCUUUGUAGGAACUUUCUUCAUGCUGGAAUGGGUUCCAUUGCUGCUAGAGAAGCCUUUGAUGCAAAUCGCAUUUCUGAGGAGGAAUUCAGAAGUUCUGCAAAUUCAAUAAUUACUAAUCCAAAUUUAGUUGUCCGAAUUCAAGGAAACUAUUUACAGUGGGACAAAGCUGCUCCAAUCGUUCUCGGGAUGGCUGCGUAUAAUACGGAACUACCAGUUGAAUCUACUGAUUUCAUACCCGUGGAGCAGGAGAAGAACCUAAAAACAGGAGAGGAUGAUAGUGGGUUGCCUUCAACUCCUUCUGGACGACGAUGGAGGCUUUGGCCAAUUCCAUUUAGAAGAGUUAAGACAAUUGAACACACAAGUAGCAAUGCAUCAAAUGAAGAGGUGUUUGUUGAUUCUGAAUCAAGCUCACUGAACCAGCCUACAGAACAAACAGCAGCACCACGAGGAGCUAAGGAAUCUCCUCGCAAGCAACUUGUGAGAACAAAUGUCCCUUCUUCUGAUCAAAUCGACUCUUUAAAACUGAAGGAGGGGCAGAAUUUGGUGACUUUCAUUUUUUCCACUCGAGUCCUAGGGGAGCAAAAGGUUUGUUGUGUUGCUUGUGCCAAAUAUGUUUACUUAAAAAAAUAGUAGUCUUUUUAUUGUUUUGGUUCGUAUCGCAAUGCUGAACGAACUUUUUAAAACAGGUUGAAGCCCAUAUAUAUUUGUGGAAGUGGAAUACUCGGAUUGUAAUUUCUGAUGUUGAUGGGACUAUUACCAAGUAAGCUUUUUGGAUCACUAAACCUCAAGCUGCAAAAUUUUGUUAGCCUUCUAUAGGAUCAGAUGUCCAAAUUUCUCAUCUUUAAGCUGAUGUGAGAAAACAAUAUCUUUUUGUAAGGUUUUCUACUUUAUAGUGUACUUCUUGUAUAUGGGCGUGUUUUGCCCCCUCGUUUAAUAAAUUUUAAAGCAUUAUAAAGAAACCUGAUUUGAGAGCAUAAAAUAAUAUUAUAAGUUGGAAUUGUGAGAAUAGGACCGUUUGUUGGAACAUUAUCUCAUUCUGGUAGCGUACUAUGUAACUAUCGUUUGUAGAGUGGACGAGCACAUGUUUUAUAACGUACUUAAAAAGUUCAUAUUUAUGUCUAGGUCUGAUGUUCUUGGUCAGUUCAUGCCUUUGGUUGGAAAGGACUGGACCCACUCCGGAAUCGCUAGACUUUUCUCUGCAAUCAAGGUAUUCCUUUUCUCUGUCCUAUAUUUUAAUGUUUCUUCGUCUUCAAGUCAUCACAUCAAUUCUUUUGUAUUUUGAUAAAAUUCCUUAAGACAAAGUACAACCAAUACUUUCCUCCAAUUCAAAUAGUGUGGCAAUUCUGGAUUUGAUGCUUCAGCACGAGAAAGAUGUUUGCGGGGGAGCUAUGCCUAUGACAUUUAAUGUGAUAUGAUAAACAUAUCUGCCAGAGAUGAGCAGGAAAUCUAUUUAACGUAUAUAUCUUCAAAAGAGAGGAAAAACUUUGAUGAUAUCAUAUAGGGUUUAUCCUUAGGAAAACUGGGGAAAACCAAGGUGUUCAUAAAUGAGCAUGGAAGAAUUUUAAGAUUUAGAUAGAAGAGCCCUGUAUUCUAGUUGCCAUAACUUUAGACAAAGUGUCGCGGGCUAAUCCGCAGACCCAUUCAUACAGGAUGACAAGACUCCUAUAUAAGAUACUUGCUUAGGUGAGACCUGGCAAAGUUACAUACCUCAUGGCGGAGUAUUUGAUUCAACAUGCCGGACAUUAUACAAUGUACAAAAGUUGGGUUGAAGAGUAAUAUGUAUACAGUAUGACUUGUUAUAUCUCCAUUCCCUGCGUGUUCCUUGUUCUUUGUUUGCUAUUUUUGAACUACGAAGUACUAUGAUUGACUAACACGAAGCUGGCCAAAUAUUUAUGAACUCUCACUUCCAUUUUCAUUGAUGUUGAACUAUAUUUCUUCAAUAUUUUAUAAUGGAUGUGCUGUCUUGUAAUUGCAGGAAAAUGGGUAUCAGCUACUCUUUCUCAGCGCACGGGCAAUUGUUCAAGCUUAUCUGACCAAAAGUUUUCUGUUCAAUCUCAAACAGGUAAACAUAGUCCCAUAUACAUGAAAUACCGAGGACACUAAUUUUUAGUUUUCUAAAACAUACAGAAGAUUUUAGGGAGCAUUUUGGCUGGAUUCUGUUACAUGUAGGACCAUUUCUCGAUGUCAUCCUUGCGCACAGGCCAUGCUGAUCUUCUCUAUAUCGUUACUAUUUUAUAAGAUGUUCCCGAAGGCACUCUGUUACAUGUAGGGCUGUGCAUUAUUUGGUUUAAACCAAGAAAACUGACCAAACCAAAAAUUCUGGUUUGUGUGAUACAAAUUUUUUGGUUUUCCGGUUCGGUUUGUUUUGAUUCUCGGUGCAGGGAAACAUUGUUUUCCAGUGAGGUUUCCAACGAGUAGAAUUUUUUUUUUUAAAUGAGAAAACUGAAAACUGAAAUUAGGGGGUGAGGGUAGGUAUCCAUAGUUUACUAGGGGUUCAGUUGUUGUCUCCACUUUCCUCACUCCACCUCUGUCUCUCUCGCCUCUUCUCCACACUUCAAGGCGAGAAUAUAAUGAGAUCAAAUGAACAUAUCUAGAAAUGUCUUUAGACCUUGGUAGUCUGAGAUUCAAACACCAAUGGCCUUGUGAACCAUAUAAACCUUUUUUUUUUUUGUAUCCGGUCCUAGCAAAUAUACUACCUCAGAACGGCUUCAAGAAGCUGUUUCCAAAUUUGGUUAGGUGGGACAUGCCAUAAGCUUAUAUCCAUGGUUAUGCUAGAAACUUCAAAAUGACGAUUAUUUUCAUUUAAUUGAUGGUUGCUAUAUCAAUCAAAAUCCAAUCAACUACUCAUCAAUUCCAAACUAUUUUUUCAUCGACCGUGAACUAUCCAAACUUUGUUAUCAGGCUUGGGACCUAUGAUGCAUAGCUUGAUUUUUAAGGUUGCUAUAUUUAUAAAAAGAAAAAGAUAAGAGACAACAGGAAAUCAUCUCCGUUAGAUAUUUUUGUGAAGUAGAGCCUUUCACUCUUGUGGAUUUCUAUAGUUUUGGGAAAUUGAACAACUAUAAGCAGCCUUGUUCUCAACUUGCCUUUCUCGCUUUUUAUAUCUAGCGUUUUCUUAUGCAAGUUGUUCUGAGUUUUAAAGUUUUGGCUUUAUUUCCUGCUUGGGUGUAAAACAUGUUGCUACAAAUGAAUUAGCUGAGGAAGAGAGGCACAAAUAGAUCUGUUGAUUGGUUUGCCAAUCUACAAGCAGAAAAUCAAAUAAUCUGAACAGAAUUUGCUCAAAGCCAACUGACUAAUAGAGUACUGCCGUAUUUACAUGUUUUGGGCACUCAUGGUGUUGGGGUGAAGAUUUAGCUUUAAUUACCUGUUCUUUUCAUUUCUUAUUCUCCGACUCCUGUGCUUUGUUCUCAGACCUUCCAUGUGUUUUUUUUUCUUUCUUUUAUGGGGAAAGGAGGUUUGGAGGAUGCAUUUUGUCUAACCGCUAUUUGUGAUUAUAUACACCACCUAAAGAAUUCUUGGAUCUGGCCUCUGUUUGUUUGUCCGUUCUUGUAGAAUUCUGAUUGUGUAACAGAUUUCACUGACCAGAAACGUGUAACAAUCUGCAGGAUGGGAAAUCCUUACCACCUGGACCUGUUGUUAUUUCACCUGAUGGUUUAUUUCCCUCGUUGUACAGAGAAGGUAAGUAAGUACAUAUUUAGCAUAAGUCCAUCUUUUGCCUUAGUCUGAGUCGAAAUGCAUUAUCUGUGCAUGCGAAUUACACAUGUUUCUUGAUGUUUGGUUUCAAUGAGAAUUAUCCGGAAACUUCAGCUCUUUGCCCAUAGCAAGUCGACUGACUUUUUCCUACUGAUAUGAUAAAAAGAGUAGUUGAAGCAACACAUGUUGUCUUGGUACUAGGGUUUUUCUGUCAGUUCUAUAUGCCUCCGUUCCCAAUUUCCCAUUGAGCUCUGGUUUUUGAUUCCAUAUUAAGACCAUUGAUCUAUUGUUGGUGCCAUGUCAUCUUCUUCAGAUUUUGAGUCGCACUUUGCAUGCAUGAUUCUGUGCAAUUUGUUUCCCCCCUUUAAGAAGGAAUUGGCAUAAAUUUGAUCUCUGACAAAAUUUACCUUUUCUCUUC
rnacentral:lncRNA from 1 species